rnacentral:tRNA from 1 species
GGCCUCGUGGCCUAAUGGCAUGGCGUCAGAUUUCGGUUCAUCGUUCAAAUACAAAAGGACGACGGCUUAAUCUCUGAAGAUUGUCGGUUCGAAUCCGGCCGAGGUCG